rnacentral:rRNA from 1 species
GUGGGGAAUCUUCCGCAAUGGACGAAAGUCUGACGGAGCAACGCCGCGUGAACGAUGAAGGUCUUCGGAUUGUAAAGUUCUGUGAUCCGGGACGAAGGCAUUGAUUGAGAACAUUGAUUGAUGUUGACGGUACCGGAAAAGCAAGCCACGGCUAACUACGUGCCAGCAGCCGCGGUAAUACGUAGGUGGCAAGCGUUGUCCGGAAUUAUUGGGCGUAAAGCGCGCGCAGGCGGCCGUGCAAGUCCAUCUUAAAAGCGUGGGGCUUAACCCCAUGAGGGGAUGGAAACUGCAGGGCUGGAGUGUCGGAGGGGAAAGUGGAAUUCCUAGUGUAGCGGUGAAAUGCGUAGAGAUUAGGAAGAACACCGGUGGCGAAGGCGACUUUCUAGACGACAACUGACGCUGAGGCGCGAAAGCGUGGGGAGCAAACAGGAUUAGAAACCCUAGUAGUCC